AAAGCUCGUAGUCGAAUCUGUGUCCCGCGCCGCCGGUUCAUCGUUCGCGGUGUUAACUGGCGUGCCGCGGGACGUCCUGCCGGUGGGCUUAGUCCGCAAGGAGGCCCAACUCAAUCCCGCCGCGGUGCUCUUCACUGAGUGUCGAGGUGGGCCGGCACGUUUACUUUGAACAAAUUAGAGUGCUUAAAGCAGGCUAAAACUUCGCCUGAAUACUGUGUGCAUGGAAUAAUGGAAUAGGACCUCGGUUCUAUUUUGUUGGUUUUCGGAACCCCGAGGUAAUGAUUAAUAGGAACGGAUGGGGGCAUUCGUAUUGCGACGUUAGAGGUGAAAUUCUUGGAUCGUCGCAAGACGGACAGAAGCGAAAGCAUUUGCCAAAAACGCUUUCAUUGAUCAAGAACGAAAGUUAGAGGUUCGAAGGCGAUCAGAUACCGCCCUAGUUCUAACCAUAAACGAUGCCAGCUAGCGAUCCGCCGACGUUCCUCCGAUGACUCGGCGGGCAGCUUCCGGGAAACCAAAGCUUUUGGGUUCCGGGGGAAGUAUGGUUGCAAAGCUGAAACU
rnacentral:rRNA from 3 species